GAACGCUGGCGGCGUGCUUAACACAUGCAAGUCGAACGGUGAAGCCCUUCGGGGUGGAUCAGUGGCGAACGGGUGAGUAACACGUGGGCAAUCUGCCCUGCACUCUGGGACAAGCCUUGGAAACGAGGUCUAAUACCGGAUACGACCCUGGAGCGCAUGCUCCGGGGUGGAAAGCUCCGGCGGUGCAGGAUGAGCCCGCGGCCUAUCAGCUUGUUGGUGGGGUGAUGGCCUACCAAGGCGACGACGGGUAGCCGGCCUGAGAGGGCGACCGGCCACACUGGGACUGAGACACGGCCCAGACUCCUACGGGAGGCAGCAGUGGGGAAUAUUGCACAAUGGGCGCAAGCCUGAUGCAGCGACGCCGCGUGAGGGAUGAAGGCCUUCGGGUUGUAAACCUCUUUCAGCAGGGAAGAAGCGCAAGUGACGGUACCUGCAGAAGAAGCACCGGCUAACUACGUGCCAGCAGCCGCGGUAAUACGUAGGGUGCGAGCGUUGUCCGGAAUUAUUGGGCGUAAAGAGCUCGUAGGCGG
rnacentral:rRNA from 1 species